rnacentral:rRNA from 1 species
CCAAUAGCGUAUAUUAAAGUUGUUGCAGUUAAAAAGCUCGUAGUUGAACUUCGGGGUCUACCCAUUGGUCAGGCUUAAUUGUCUGCACUGGUGAGAUGGAUCUCUACCUUCUGAGGAACUUUCAUGCCAUUUAUUUGGUGUGAUGGGAAAUCAGGACUGUUACUUUGAAAAAAUUAGAGUGUUUAAAGCAGGCUAUCGUCUGAAUACAUUAGCAUGGAAUAAUGAAAUAGGACGGACUGAUUCUAUUUCGUUGGUUUCUAGGAUCACCGUAAUGAUUAAUAGGGAUAGUUGGGGGCAUUAGUAUUCAAUUGUCAGAGGUGAAAUUCUUGGAUUUAUUGAAGACUAACUACUGCGAAAGCAUUUGCCAAGGAUGUUUUCAUUAAUCAAGAACGAAAGUUAGGGGAUCGAAGACGAUCAGAUACCGUCGUAGUCUUAACCAUAAACUAUGCCGACUAGGGAUCGGACGAAGUUAAUUUUAUAAUGACUCGUUCGGCACCUUACG